AAUGAACGCUGGCGGCGCGCCUAAUACAUGCAAGUCGAGCGAGAAGACGUAGCAAUACGUUUGUAAAGCGGCGAACGGGUGAGGAAUACAUGGGUAACCUACCCUAGAGUGGGGAAUAACUAGCCGAAAGGUUAGCUAAUACCGCGUACGCUCCUUGGACUUCGGUUCAGGGAGGAAAGCGAUACCGAGGGUAUCGCGCUCUUGGAUGGGCUCAUGUCCUAUCAGCUGUUGGUGAGGUAACGGCUCACCAAGGCUUCGACGGGUAGCUGGUCUGAGAGGACGAUCAGCCACACUGGCACUGCGACACGGGCCAGACUCCUACGGGAGGCAGCAGUAAGGAAUAUUGCGCAAUGGGCGAAAGCCUGACGCAGCGACGCCGC
rnacentral:rRNA from 1 species